rfam:Aedes aegypti strain Liverpool supercont1.663 genomic scaffold, whole genome shotgun sequence.
CAUCUCAUGGUGUAGUGGUUAACGCGCCCCAACUAGAGAUCGGUGAGUCGUGAGUUCGAUUUUCACUGAGAAGA